GAGAGGGCAGCUUGCUUGCGUCGUAUCAAUAUGGCACAAAGAAGAACCGCUUUAACCGCACAUGCGCAGAUAGAUACUCGCUAUUAUCAACACGCGGAGGAAUUCAAUUGAAUUUAAUACUCUUUUUCACACUAAAUGCAAAUACCAAAUAUAAUGCUCCACCAAAGCCCUGAACUAAAACUAUCGUUAGAGAAAUCGAUGGAGGCUGAACACGCAAAACGUUCGUUGGCUUUCUUUGACUUGGAAACAACUGGACUUGGUCAUGCGUGUGAAAUAGUCCAGUUAGCAGCCGUGAGCGGAUGUAACUCCAUCAACUUGUACACCGUGCCCAGGUGUCGAAUGCAGAGCCGUGCGGCCAAAGUAACCGGUUUCAGGGUCCGCAGACACAGAUUGUUCCUCAAUCGCCAACCAGUGCUCACAAAUUCUCUAAAGGAUGUAGUCCUGUCAUUUAUGGCCUUUCUCCGCAUGCUUGGACGUCCUAUACUUAUUGGGCACAAUAUUCGCCGCUUUGAUUGCCCGGUACUUCUCAGGGCACUGGACGAACUCGACCUCAGAGUUGAAUUCCAGUCGAUAAUUACCGGGUGCUUAGACACUCUUCCACUUGCAAGGGACAUUUGCAAGGACAAUGGUUACAAGAGUUUUAGACAAGAAAACCUGGUUCGGGAGCUUUUGGGGGUGGACUACGACGCACACAAUGCACUAGAAGACGUUCGGUCAUUGCAAGCACUUUACUGGGCGCUUCAGCCUACAUCGCAACUGAUAAGUAGACAUUUCUUCACACUGGAGACCAUAGUCAAACCCAAGCAUCCAGUUUCAAACGCAGUGGCAGCGGACUUAUAUCCAGAAAUAGUUCCCUCUGUUUUGAGCACUUGAGACGGGUAGCAACCUAUAGGAGCCCGGAACAAUUAUUUGUUGAAAAGCUUUGUCCGUCUCACUAACAUUUCCACAAAAAAGUGGAUACUUUUCCACAAAUUUGACCCUUGGCAGUGUUGAGGAAAUUCCUACAGGGGCAUUAUAAUUGUUCUUAAAAUUUAUGAUUCAUGUACUAUAUAUGCUACAUCCUUUUUAUAAAAAAAUAAAGUAUAUAAUUUUUGGUUCAUA